CGCUACUGACCCGAGGCGCCGGCAGUCUCCGGACCCGUGCUAGGGCGGCGGUUACGGUGCUCUGCGGAGCAGUGCAGCCGAGGUCGAACCUCCCAAGACGGCCCGGGACCGCUCGGCGCGGCAAGCGUCCUCGGUCUCGCGGCGAGUCCACCGCGGCGGCCUAUAACACGACACCCCGAGGGGCGGCGCUACCUUUCCGCCGGGCUUCUGACCGCCGCGAAACCGGUCGUAGCACUCGACCGCGGAGAAAGUGCACCCUGCCACGCGGACGUCCGCUGGCCGGGUCCUUGCGGAUCCGAACUUUGCGGACUUUCCCGGGGGCGGCCGG
rnacentral:rRNA from 1 species